rnacentral:lncRNA from 1 species
AUGGAAUUCCUGCUGAACACAACGUUCCUGCUAUCCCAGGACCCCUGCAAACCCCACAGCCAUCCCAAAGAGAGAUUUCCACCAUCCCGUUUGUUGCUGCAGCUCCUCUGGAAAUGGGAAUUGAAGGAGGGUGACAGGACACAUCCCUGGAAGUGUCCAAGGCCAGGUUGGGAUAAUGGGAGGUUUCCAGGGUGAGGAUUUCAAGGUCCUUCAAACCCAAAUUAUCCUGUGAUUUUUUGAUUCUAUAAAGAAGAUUAAAAGCAUUGCUGAAAAGGAUCUCACGGCUGGACUGGGAUCCAGGAAAAUCCCAACCAGUCUGAGCAGGGCUGUUUAUUUUUAUUUAUCUUCCCAAAAAAAUUUUCAGGAGCACACUAAACAUCAUUUAUUGCACUACGAGCAGGGUUAAUAAAUAAACUGAGAAAUCCCGUUUGGAUUUCCUGCAGCGGCAGGGCCUGGUGGGGACCCACCCACAAUUCCCGCUGCAAUUCCCAGGAAUUCCCGGCUCCGCGUGGGCCGCAGCACAAAGGAACACAAAGCCACGAUAAAAAGCAGCAGCAACACAUCAAGCCUCGCUUUCCCACCCUGUCAGAAUCGGAGGAAAAAGGAUCGAGCCCAGAUCCCGCUGCUGCUCUACCCUCCCCGAGCAGCAUCCCGGGAUUUGUGUCCUGGCAGCUCCGGGGUUCUGCCCCCAUUAAUGAUUUAUUUCCUUUCCAGGUGAAUUUUCAUGGACAAAUCCAGCCUGGGACGGAUCAUUGGCAAAGCAGAGUCAGCUCCUGUUUCCAGGACUUGAUGGAUUUGCAUCCAGACAUUCCUGACCUCUAUUCCUUCAAAUCCAAAGUGCUGGGAUGAGACACAACCAGCGCCACUCCAGCGCCUGCCAGCAGCAGAACCUGGCCGUGGCCAGGGGAUUUCUCCGUCCAAAGAUGAGGAUUAAUUGCUUAAAAUGGCCUAAAAAUUCCUUUUCAACAAUGCCAGCACGCAGAGAGUGCUUGGAGAGGGGUGAGGAUUUCUCCGGGCAGGUCCUCCAUGGGAACAACAGAGCGAAGAACUGGGAAUUGGGCUGGAAUGCAGAGAGCCGGGAAUUGGGCUGGAAUGCAAAGAACCGGGAAUUGGGCUGGAAUGCAAAGAACCGGGAAUUGGGCUGGAAUGCAAAGCUCUGCCCGAAUUCAGCUGCCUUGGCACACGAAGAAUCUGCUCCUCUUCCCUCCCGUGCUAUUUAAAGGAAAUCAAGGUCAGGCUCACACGCUGAAUUAUUCCUGAAUUCCACACCUUCGCCUCCGGCUCUCCAAAAUCACCUGGAUUUCACCGGGAAGCGGCUCCAGCGCCGCGCUGGGAGCUGGCAGAGCGCCCCGCGGCCGCGUUCCGCUCCCGGGCUCGGGCAAUUAGCGCUUCAUCACUAAUUGAACAUUUCAAAUCCAAAGGAAGGGAAAUUGCUUUUCCAUUAGCGGAGAUGGGGCCGGGGCCGCUCCCUGCAGGAUAAAAUUCCUUGAUUUAAGAAAUCCUCCAGGGCCUUUUCCAAGUGGAUUUGGAGCAUGGAUGGGCAGGGGGACCCUCGGAGAGGGGGACAGGGCUCCAGGGGACAGCGAGACCUCUCUCUGGAUAUUCCCUCCAAGGAAAACCCAUCCCUCAUUUUGGGGAGCUCCUGGAUUCGCGGCAUUUAUAGACCUGCAAUAGUUUGGGAUUUAUCAGAGCCAGGCGAGUGGGUUUCCAAGGGAUUAAUGGGAUGAACAGGGGGAGAUGUCAGAGCUCGGCAGCUCCUUUCCUUUCCCUUCCCACCUCUCUUCUCUCCAGGAUUUGGAAGUUUUGCUGCUCCACGGUCGAAAUUCCAAGGGUCAGCACAUGAGCGGGCUGGAACCCAAAUCUCUUCCUGUUUGGGAAUGUGACAGGACCAGGAUGAUCCUCACAGCUCCCAAAAUCCCAUCUGCCAACACCCCCGUGCCAGCCCGAACAGGGCAAACACCCCCAGUGGGACAGAGAAAUCCAUGGGGGAAACUUCGGGAAAAAUGUUCUUCCUGUCCCCGUGUCCCAAGGGAAAAGGGGCUGGGAACAGCCGGGUUCUGGUGCCUUUGCUCCAGCCGCGGCAGCUGGGAAUGAAAGGAACCGGCUUGGAAUUGUCAGCCGGGAAUUCCUGACCUUCCCCGCCUCAGCUCCCUCGCCAUAGUAACAACCACCCGGAAAAUAACAACAACAACAACAACAAAACCCGCCGGUUCCCUGCCUCUGCCUGGAAAAAAAAACAAAAAACAACCAACCCCAAAACGGCAAAAAGAGGGAAAAGCAUUGGAACGAGAAGAGAUUUCAUUGUGCCGGGCAGAGGAACAGCAGCAGCGCUCGCAGCUCGUUUUGCACCCCCGAUCCCGAGCACCCUCUGGGGUGCAGGCGGGGCUGGGGCCGCCCUGGCCUCCGCGGGGGCCGCCCUGGCCUCCCCCAGCCUCACCCUUCCCCCAUCCCAGUCCCUCGGGAUCCUUUCCAGCCUCCUGCUGCCAGCUGCGAUUUCCUGCAGCUGCUGAUGCGAGGGAGAGGGGUUGCGGAAGGGAAUAUUCGCCGGCAGGAGGGUGGCACAGCUCCUGGGCACGGACAAAGCUGCUUCAUUCCGCGAAAGAGGGGAAAGAACCCAAAUCAACCUUUUUUUAAAAUCCUGAGUGGGCUGAAAAAUCAGCAGAGCAAGGUGAGGUUUGCUGCGUUUAGCUCAGCAAAUUUAAUGUAAUGUAAUUUAAUUUAAUUUACGAGCAAGGACCCUGCAAGAGCAAAGGGUCUCCCUUCCCCACCUAGCUCCCAUCAGGAUCCCGAAUCCUUCCCCUCGUCCCCAAAAGCUCCCUCUGCCCCAACAGCUCCUCUCCCGCACGAGACGAGCACAGAAAGGCUUUUCCAAGCCCUGCAGCCUCUCAGGCUGCGUUUCCAGAGCUCCUUUUCCUCUUUAUUUGGGCUGCAGAGGGAACGGGAAGAGCUCGGGCCAGAUCGCAGCUGGGGAGGUCACAGCGAGCCCAUCCUUGCCGGGCCUGGG